rnacentral:tRNA from 1 species
AGAUGAUUGGUGUAAUGGAAGCACGGCGACAACUAGAUGAUACCGAUUUCUUAUCGUCGUUGGUGGGGGUUCGAGUCCCUCUUCAUCUCCCA